GGGAGCAAGUAGAGUGGCGCACGGGUGAGUAACACGUAGGUAAUCUACCUUCGGAUGGGGAAUAACAACCGGAAACGAUUGCUAAUACCGCAUAAUGCAGCGGCACCUAAUGGUGACAGUUGUUAAAGCGGGGGAUCGCAAGACCUCGCGUCUGAAGAGGAGCCUGCGGCAGAUUAGCUAGUUGGUAAGGUAACGGCUUACCAAGGCGAUGAUCUGUAGCCGGCCUGAGAGGGCGGUCGGCCACACUGACACUGACAUACGGGUCAGACUCCUACGGGAGGCAGCAGUCGGGAAUUUUGGGCAAUGGGCGAAAGCCUGACCCAGCAACGCCGCGUGAAGGAUGAAAUCCCUCGGGAUGUAAACUUCGCAAGAACAGGAAGAAUAAGUGAGAGUUAAUAUCUCUUACGAUGACGGUACUGUUUGUAAGCUCCGGCUAACUCCGUGCCAGCAGCCGCGGUAAUACGGGGGGGGCAAGCGUUGUUCGGAAUUACUGGGCGUAAAGGGCUCGUAGGCGGCCAACUAAGUCCGACGUGAAAUCCCCAGGCUUAACCUGGGAACUGCGUCGGAUACUGGAUGGCUUGAAUUCGGGAGAGGGAUGCAGAAUUCCAGGUGUAGCGGUGAAAUGCGUAGAUAUCUGGAGGAAUACCGGUGGCGAAGGCGGCAUCCUGGACCGACAUUGACGCUGAGGAGCGAAAGCUAGGGGAGCAAACGGGAUUAGAUACCCCGGUAGUCCUAGCCCUAAACGAUGAAUGCUUGGUGUGGCGGGUAUCGAUCCCUGCCGUGCCGAAGCUAACGCAUUAAGCGCCCCGCCUGGGGAGUACGGCCGCAAGGCUAAAACUCAAAGGAAUUGACGGGGGCCCGCACAAGCGGCGGAGCAUGCGGAUUAAUUCGAUGCAACGCGAAGAACCUUACCUGGGUUUGACAUGGGCGGUAAUCCGGCAGAGAUGUCGGGUCCUUCGGGGCCGUUCACAGGUGGUGCAUGGCUGUCGUCAGCUCGUGUCGUGAGAUGUUGGGUUAAGUCCCGCAACGAGCGCAACCCUCGUUCGAUGUUGCCAGCGGGUUAUGCCGGGGACUCAUCGAAGACUGCCGGGGUCAACUCGGAGGAAGGUGGGGAUGACGUCAAGUCAUCAUGCCCCUUAUGUCCAGGGCUUCACGCAUGCUACAAUGGCCGGUACAAAGGGCUGCGAUACCGUGAGGUGGAGCGAAUCCCAAAAAGCCGGUCUCAGUUCGGAUCGGGGUCUGCAACUCGACCCCGUGAAGUCGGAGUCGCUAGUAAUCGCAGAUCAGCAACGCUGCGGUGAUACGUUCCCGGGCCGUUGUACACACCGC
rnacentral:rRNA from 1 species